rnacentral:rRNA from 1 species
CGCAAUGGGCGAAAGCCUGACGGAGCAACGCCGCGUGAGGGACGAAGGCCUCUGGGCUGUAAACCUCUUUACUCAAGGAAGAAGAUAUGACGGUACUUGAGGAAUAAGCCACGGCUAAUUCCGUGCCAACAGCCGCGGUAAUACGGGAGUGGCAAGCGUUAUCCGGAAUUAUUGGGCGUAAAGCGUCCGCAGGCGGCUUUUCAAGUCAGCUGUUAAAGCGUGGAGCUUAACUCCAUCAUGGCAGUGGAAACUGAAAGGCUUGGGUAUGGUAGGGGCAGAGGGAAUUCCCGGUGUAGCGGUGAAAUGCGUAGAUAUCGGGAAGAACACCAGUGGCGAAGGCGCUCUGCUGGGCCAUUACUGACGCUCAUGGACGAAAGCCAGGGGAGCGAAAGGGAUUAGAUACCCCUGUAGUCCUGGCCGU